rnacentral:tRNA from 1 species
GCCACAGUGGCGGAAUGGUAGACGCAGGAGACUUAAAAUCUCCCGGCAGUUAUGCCGUACGGGUUCGAGUCCCGUCUGUGGUA